UACAGUAGAGACAGAGAGAGGGGUUAGCCACAGCACACACCACACCACCACCAGGUGAGGAGCCAAGAGCUACAGUAGAGACAGAGAGAGGGGUUAGCCACAGCACACACCACCCCACCACCAGGUGAGGAGCCAGGAGCUACAGUAGAGACAGAGAGAGGGGUUAGCCACAGCACACACCACCCCACCACCAGGUGAGGAGCCAGGAGCUACAGUAGAGACAGAGAGAGGGGUUAGCCACAGCACACACCACCAGGUGAGGAGCCAGGAGCUACAGUAGAGACAGAGAGAGGGGUUAGCCACAGCACACACCACCAGGUGAGGAGCCAGGAGCUACAGUAGAGGCAGAGAGAGGGGUUAGCUACAGCACACACCACCCCACCACCAGGUGAGGAGCCAGGAGCUACAGUAGAGGCAGAGAGAGGGGUUAGCUACAGCACACACCACCAGGUGAGGAGCCAGGAGCUACAGUAGAGACAGAGAGAGGGGUUAGCCACAGCACACACCACCAGGUGAGGAGCCAGGAGCUACAGUAGAGACAGAGAGGGGGGUUAGCCACAGCACACACCACACCACCACCAGGUUAGGAACCAGGAGCUACAGUAGAGACAGAGAGAGGGGUUAGCCACAGCACACACCACCCCACCACCAGGUGAGGAACCAGGAGCUACAGUAGAGACAGAGAGAGGGGUUAGCUACAGCACACACCACCAGGUGAGGAGCCAGGAGCUACAGUAGAGACAGAGAGGGGGGUUAGCCACAGCACACACCACCCCACCACCAGGUGAGGAGCCAGGAGCUACAGUAGAGACAGAGAGAGGGGUUAGCCACAGCACACACCACCAGGUGAGGAGCCAGGAGCUACAGUAGAGACAGAGAGAGGGCUUAGCCACAGCACACACCACCCCACCACCAGGUGAGGAACCAGGAGCUACAGUAGAGACAGAGAGAGGGGUUAGCCACAGCACACACCACCCCACCACCAGGUGAGGAGCCAGGAGCUACAGUAGAGACAGAGAGAGGGGUUAGCUACAGCACACACCACCAGGUGAGGAGCCAGGAGCUACAGUAGAGACAGAGAGAGGGCUUAGCCACAGCACACACCACCCCACCACCAGGUGAGGAACCAGGAGCUACAGUAGAGACAGAGAGAGGGGUUAGCCACAGCACACACCACCAGGUGAGGAGCCAGGAGCUACAGUAGAGACAGAGAGAGGGCUUAGCCACAGCACACACCACCCCACCACCAGGUGAGGAACCAGGAGCUACAGUAGAGACAGAGAGAGGGGUUAGCCACAGCACACACCACCCCACCACCAGGUGAGGAACCAGGAGCUACAGUAGAGACAGAGAGAGGGGUUAGCUACAGCACACACCACCAGGCGAGGAGCCAGGAGCUACAGUAGAAACAGAGAGAGGGGUUAGCCACAGCACACACCACACCACCACCAGGUGAGGAGCCAGGAGCUACAGUAGAGACAGAGAGAGGGGUUAGCCACAGCACACACCACCCCACCACCAGGUGAGGAGCCAGGAGCUACAGUAGAGGCAGAGAGAGGGGUUAGCCACAGCACACACCACCAGGUGAGGAGCCAGGAGCUACAGUAGAGACAGAGAGAGGGGUUAGCCACAGCACACACCACACCACCACCAGGUGAGGAGCCAGGAGCUACAGUAGAAACAGAGAGAGGGGUUAGCCACAGCACACACCACACCACCACCAGGUGAGGAACCAGGAGCUACAGUAGAGACAGAGAGAGGGGUUAGCCACAGCACACACCACCCCACCACCAGGUUAGGAGCCAGGAGCUACAGUAGAGACAGAGAGAGGGGUUAGCCACAGCACACACCACACCACCACCAGGUGAGGAACCAGGAGCUACAGUAGAGGCAGAGAGAGGGGUUAGCCACAGCACACACCACCACCAGGUUAGGAGCCAGGAGCUACAGUAGAGACAGAGAGAGGGGUUAGCCACAGCACACACCACCCCACCACCAGGUGAGGAACCAGGAGCUACAGUAGAGACAGAGAGAGGGGUUAGCUACAGCACACACCACCAGGCGAGGAGCCAGGAGCUACAGUAGAAACAGAGAGAGGGGUUAGCCACAGCACACACCACACCACCACCAGGUGAGGAGCCAGGAGCUACAGUAGAGACAGAGAGAGGGCUUAGCCACAGCACACACCACCCCACCACCAGGUGAGGAACCAGGAGCUACAGUAGAGACAGAGAGAGGGGUUAGCCACAGCACACACCACCAGGUGAGGAGCCAGGAGCUACAGUAGAGACAGAGAGAGGGGUUAGCCACAGCACACACCACCCCACCACCAGGUGAGGAACCAGGAGCUACAGUAGAGACAGAGAGAGGGGUUAGCCACAGCACACACCACCCCACCACCAGGUGAGGAACCAGGAGCUACAGUAGAGACAGAGAGAGGGCUUAGCCACAGCACACACCACCCCACCACCAGGUGAGGAACCAGGAGCUACAGUAGAGACAGAGAGAGGGGUUAGCCACAGCACACACCACCAGGUGAGGAGCCAGGAGCUACAGUAGAGACAGAGAGAGGGCUUAGCCACAGCACACACCACCCCACCACCAGGUGAGGAACCAGGAGCUACAGUAGAGACAGAGAGAGGGGUUAGCUACAGCACACACCACCAGGUGAGGAGCCAGGAGCUACAGUAG